UUUUAAGUUUGUUGUUAACUUUUAGGGUUUAAUUUUGGAUAGGUGGUGGAAAUUAUUAAGUUUGAGUAUGGUAGGGGUAGAGGGAAUUUUUGGUGGAGUGGUGAAAUGUGUAGAGAUUGGAAAGAAUAUUAAUGGUGAAAGUAUUUUGUUGGGUUGAUAUUGAUAUUGAGAGAUGAAAGUUAGGGGAGUGAAUGGGAUUAGAUAUUUUAGUAGUUUUAGUUGUAAAUGAUGGAUAUUAGGUGUUGUGUGUAUUGAUUUGUGUAGUGUUGUAGUUAAUGUGUUAAGUAUUUUGUUUGGGGAGUAUGUUUGUAAGAAUGAAAUUUAAAGGAAUUGAUGGGGGUUUGUAUAAGUGGUGGAGUAUGUGGUUUAAUUUGAUGUAAAGUGAAGAAUUUUAUUAGGGUUUGAUAUGUUGUGAAUUUUUUUGAAAGAGAGGGGUGUUUUUGGGAAUGUGGAUAUAGGUGGUGUAUGGUUGUUGUUAGUUUGUGUUGUAAGGUGUUGGGUUAAGUUUUGUAAUGAGUGUAAUUUUUGUGUUUAGUUGUUAUUGUUGAGUUUGGAAUUUUGAAUAGAUUGUUGGUGAUAAGUUGGAGGAAGGUGAGGAUGAUGUUAAGUUAUUAUGUUUUUUAUGUUUUGGGUGAUAUAUGUGUUAUAAUGGUUGGGAUAAAGGGUUGUGAUUUUGUGAGGGUGAGUUAAUUUUAAAAAUUUGUUUUUAGUUUGGAUUGUAGGUUGUAAUUUGUUUGUAUGAAGUUGGAAUUGUUAGUAAUUGCUGGUUAGUUAUAUGGUGGUGAAUUUGUUUUUGGGUUUUGUAUAUAUUGUUUGUUAUAUUAUGGGAGUUGGUUAUGUUUGAAGUUGUUAUUUUAAUUGUAAGGAGGGGGGUGUUGAAGGUAGGGUUAGUGAUUGGAGUGAAGUUGUAAUAAGGUAGUUGUAUUGGAAGGUGUGGUUGGAUUAUUUUUUUU
rnacentral:rRNA from 1 species